rnacentral:rRNA from 1 species
UACAGAGGUCUCAAGCGUUGUUCGGAUUCAUUGGGCGUAAAGCGUGCGUAGACGGUUGCGUAAGUCAGAUGUGAAAGCCCCGGGCUCAACCUGGGAAUUGCAUUUGAGACUGCGUAGCUAGGGUGCGGAAGAGGGAAGCGGAAUUUCCGGUGUAGCGGUGAAAUGCGUAGAUAUCGGAAGGAACACCAGUGGCGAAAGCGGCUUCCUGGUCCAGCACCGACGUUCAGGCACGAAAGCGUGGGGAGCAAACAGG